GCAACAUCUUUGUGAGAGACGGCUCAAGAAUUAUAAUUUUGCAAGGAUAAAAUGUCUUCUCCUAGCAAGAGGAGAGAAAUGGAUGUCAUGAAAUUGAUGAUGAGUGAUUACAAUGUGGAGACAAUAAAUGAUGGGCUGAAUGAAUUGAAUGUGGAAUUUCAUGGUCCUAAAGAAAGCCUUUAUGAAGGUGGGGUCUGGAAAAUACGGGUUGAGCUUCCUGAUGCUUAUCCAUACAAGUCUCCUUCUAUUGGGU
rnacentral:misc_RNA from 1 species